rnacentral:lncRNA from 1 species
CAAAAGAUUGCAAAGUUCAAGGGGGCCGAAUACUUUCGAAAGGCACUGUACAUCACUAAAUAACUUCAUCUUUCUCCCCAGGACGUCUCCUACAGCUCCCAGCAUGCUUCACUCUCUGGCUCGUUACGGACGGUACCUGCCGUGCUGGACCUGGACCAGCGUUACACUGAGAAGCCCCGCCUACCACGGACACCUCAUUGGCCGGCUGGCCAACCCCCACACUCUGAUAGGUCGUGGCAGCACCUACCUUCUCCACGUGGAGAGCUGCCUCGCUGAGCUGACCGCUAAGGCUUUCCUGUUCUCCUGUUCUCCUGACCUUUCAAACUCUAACAUCGGGUAGAGCUCAGAGUUCACCUGGGGGUCAGGCACCCCCCAUCUGCCACAGCCACUCUGACCUCCAGCUUCCAGCCUCCCCAGGGAGGACGAUGACUUCACGCUGACUCAGCGUCGCAGGGACUUUCCUAUGUGGGCGGGGUUUCAGCGGGGAGGAUGACCUCCGGGUGAUGCACUUCCUGUCUGACCUCAUCAAACAGCACCACGCAGGAAGUGGUCCUCCGGCCCUCCGCUUCUCCUACAGUUGCCGUCCCCUUUACAUAGAAACACCACAACAUAGAUAUGGCCCUGUCACUUUACAUAGAAACACCACAACAUAGAUAUGCAGCCCCUGUCCCUUUACAUAGAAAUACCACAACAUAGAUAAGCCCUGUCACUUUACAUAGAAACACCACACAUAGAUAUGCAGCCCUGUCCCUUACAUAGAAAUACCACAACAUAGAUACAGUCCUGUCACUUUACAUAGAAAUAUCACAACAUAGAUAUACAGCCCUGUCCCUUUACAUAGAAAUACCACAACAUAGAUAUACAAGCCCUGCCCCUUUGCAUAACUAAAGCAUUUCUUCCAUACUGUAUCCUGUCUACACUGUGAAAGGAAGGAUCCAGAGUGCAUCUCUAAUGCUACCCUGUUCCCUAUAUAGUGCACUACCCUGUUCCCUAUAUAGUGCACUACUUACUAGUAGUGUACUAUGUAGGGAAUAGUGAGCUGUUUGGGA